rnacentral:lncRNA from 1 species
GAGAAUUCACCAGGAGACAAUUUGUUUUAAAAGAGACCAAAAUCAAUGAGUUUCUUCAGUAACUUCUGGACGUAAAUGUAUCUCUUUGAUUAAGGAAAAAUCCGACUGGUCUCAGGACAUUGUUCUUUGUUUUUUAAUCCAAAAUCCACAACUCUUUGAUUCUGUGAAAAUAUAGACUCAAAUUUCAAAGGUAUUGCAUUUACAUGCAUUUCAUCGGAGUUUCUCAGAGGACAGAAUAGAAGCAGACACUACUCAUCUGAGAUACUGUCUUCUAUAGUUUUUGGAAACAAGUUAGGUUUAAAAAGCAGAAAGACAGGGAAGACAUGAAAAUUGCGACCCCUGAGUGUGACAUUUUCAAACACAUUCAUGGUAUUAAGUUAAAUGAAUGACACUCAAGUACAUCUAGCAAUUUCCAGAGGCCAAGAUGAGCACGAGUAAGGCCUGAAUCUAAAUCGCAUGUAACUCUGUUAAGCCUUACUGAAGCUGAAGCAAGCACAGCUCCCUAGUGGUCAUCUAGGAGAGUUCAUAAUAAGAGUGAGUGAAAAGGAAGAUAUUUUAACUUAAUAGUCACAAAAACAUUGUGGGAGGGUAGUGCAGUGAAUGAGAAAUUCUCACCUUCUGAAUUCCUUGAAUAAAGAACUGCAAUUGAGGAUGGUAUCACACACUGAAGCUCCCCUACUGAGUUUGACCAUAACUGAUAUAUGCAUAGCUUUAGGGAGAAGUUAAUUUUAAAAUAUUAGAAUAGCAUGCUCCAAACAGUUGUCUCAAUAUGUUUGCAUGUAGAGAAAAACAAUGGUUCCUUCAUCCACGUGCUGUGUUAUCUACAUGUGCAUAUAUAACUUCAGCAUAUAUGCAUUUUAUGAUUAUCACCACUCCCUUGUACUUGUGGAACCUAUUAUGCUGUGUAUGGAUUUUUAUCCUCUAUAAUCCUUGUAUUCUCUCUGUGAAUUUGUAAAUGUACUCCAUAAUGCUUUGAAGAUUAAUCCCAUAAUUAAAGGGCAUAGUUAAGUAAAGAAAUUCUGGAUUGCUCAUACUUAAGUGGCGUGUGCAAUCUUCAACAAUGACAGUACAUCUAAACAUGUAUUUUGGCAGAAGUAACAAAGUGCAAGCUAAUAUUUCCAAAAGAAGGACUUGGAGCUGCUGAUACAUGACACACCAGGAGAGUCCGUGACCUUUGGAAAUCAAUUACCUUUAGAAGGGAAUGACCAGAAUGACCUGAAGCAGAUGAAGAGGCAGUCAGCCCAGCUCACUUUUUCCUUCUGUGCAGUGUCAUCACAAAACUCUCCACUGAUUUUCAUCUGUUGUGACCACGCUGUUAAGAAAGGCAGGAAACAUUCAGAGAAGUUCAAUUGGGGAAAAAUAAACCAGCAGUUUUUGUGGAUUGCAAGGUGACAG